rnacentral:rRNA from 1 species
GACCCAGACUCCUACGGGAGGCAGCAGUGAGGAAUAUUGGUCAAUGGGCGAGAGCCUGAACCAGCCAAGUCGCGUGAGGGAGUACUGCCCUAUGGGUUGUAAACCUCUUUUGUCGGGGAGCAAAAGCCGGACGUGUCCGGCUGCGAGAGUACCCGAAGAAAAAGCAUCGGCUAACUCCGUGCCAGCAGCCGCGGUAAUACGGAGGAUGCGAGCGUUAUCCGGAUUUACUGGGUGUAAAGGGGGCGCAGACGGCGAUGCAAGCCAGGAGUGAAAGCCCGGGGCCCAACCCCGGGACUGCUCUUGGAACUGCGUGGCUGGAGUGCAGGAGGGGCAGGCGGAAUUCCUGGUGUAGCGGUGAAAUGCGUAGAUAUCACGCAGAACUCCGAUUGCGAAGGCAGCAUACCGGCGCCCAACUGACGCUGAAGCACGAAAGCGUGGGUAUCGAACAGGAUUAGAUACCCCCGUA